rnacentral:rRNA from 1 species
CCCUUAGAUGUCCUGGGCUGCACGCGCGCUACACUGAAAGUUACGGAUUGACUUUUUACCUUGUCCGAAAUGGUCCGGGUAAUCACCUAAAAGCUUGUCAUAAUUGGAAUGGAUUAUUGUAACUAGUAAUCCUGAACGAGGAAUUCCUAGUAAGCGCAAGUCAACAGCUUGCGUUGAUUACGUCCCUGCCCUUUGUACACACCGCCCGUCGCUACUACUGAUUGGAUGUUUAAGCGAGGUUCUCGAACUGCUAGCGACUUAGCUUCGGUGAGGUCGCAGUGUGGGAAGUGAACCUAGCUUUGGUGUCUAGAGGAAGUAAAAGUCGUAACA